AUUGAACGCUGGCGGCAGGCCUAACACAUGCAAGUCGAGCGGUAGAGAGAAGCUUGCUUCUCUUGAGAGCGGCGGACGGGUGAGUAAUGCCUAGGAAUCUGCCUGGUAGUGGGGGAUAACGUUCGGAAACGGACGCUAAUACCGCAUACGUCCUACGGGAGAAAGCAGGGGACCUUCGGGCCUUGCGCUAUCAGAUGAGCCUAGGUCGGAUUAGCUAGUUGGUGGGGUAAUGGCUCACCAAGGCGACGAUCCGUAACUGGUCUGAGAGGAUGAUCAGUCAACCGGAAAAUAGGACAGGGACCAGCACCUAAGGGGAGCCACAGGGGGGAAUUAUGGACAAUGGGCGAAAGCCUGAUCCAGCCAUGCCGCGUGUGUGAAGAAGGUCUUCGGAUUGUAAAGCACUUUAAGUUGGGAGGAAGGGCAGUAAAUUAAUACUUUGCUGUUUUGACGUUACCGACAGAAUAAGCACCGGCUAACUCUGUG
rnacentral:rRNA from 1 species